UGAGAAUAGUCGGGGAACCUCGGUGUGACACAAGGCGGUAAGCCAUGAUGUCAUUGCGAGGCUGAGAUCGCGUAUGCGAGACCCGUAGAACCUGAUUCAGUUUGUACUGACGUAGGGAACUAUCCGCAUCUUGCA
rnacentral:ncRNA from 2 species